rnacentral:rRNA from 1 species
UACGAAGGGGGCUAGCGUUGCUCGGAAUUACUGGGCGUAAAGCGCACGUAGGCGGCUUUCUAAGUCGGGGGUGAAAUCCUGGAGCUCAACUCCAGAACUGCCUUCGAUACUGGAAAGCUCGAGUCCGGGAGAGGUGAGUGGAACUGCGAGUGUAGAGGUGAAAUUCGUAGAUAUUCGGAGGAACACCAGUGGCGAAGGCGGCUCACUGGUCCGGUACUGACGCUGAGGUGCGAAAGCGUGGGGAGCAAACAGG